CUGUACAGGCUGUCCCAAAAAAAACGAAAACUAUUGAAAUCACCAAUAACAAUUUAAUUGUUAGAAUUUGAAUGCCUUAGCGCUCUGUUGAUUCCCACGAGUGCAUAAAUGAUUGACAUAAGUAAAUAUUAUGCAUAAAGAAACUGUUUAAGAAGCUGUUUUUAAUCCCCAGGAGCAGAAAAUCGCGCACUUUACCAGGAGAU